rnacentral:rRNA from 1 species
UACGAGGGGGGCGAGCGUUGUUCGGAAUUAUUGGGCGUAAAGGGUUCGUAGGCGGUGUGGCAAGUCGGGAGUGAAAUCUCUGGGCUCAACCCAGAGUCUGCUUCCGAAACUGCUGUGCUUGAGUGUGGGAGAGGCGCGUGGAAUUGCAGGUGUAGCGGUGAAAUUCGUAGAUAUUCGCAAGAACACCAGUGGCGAAGGCGGCUCACUGGCCCGGUACUGACGCUGAGGUGCGAAAGCGUGGGGAGCAAACAGG